rnacentral:rRNA from 1 species
AACGAACGCUGGCGCCAUGCCUAACACAUGCAAGUCGAACGAGACCUUCGGGUCUAGUGGCGCACGGGUGCGUAACGCGUGGGAACCUGCCCUUAGGUUCGGAAUAACUCCCCGAAAGGGGUGCUAAUACCGGAUAAUGUCUUCGGACCAAAGAUUUAUCGCCUUUGGAUGGGCCCGCGUUGGAUUAGCUAGUUGGUAGGGUAAAAGCCUACCAAGGCGACGAUCCAUAGCUGGUCUGAGAGGAUGAUCAGCCACACUGGGACUGAGACACGGCCCAGACUCCUACGGGCGGCAGCAGUGGGGAAUAUUGGACAAUGGGCGAAAGCCUGAUCCAGCAAUGCCGCGUGAGUGAUGAAGGCCUUAGGGUUGUAAAGCUCUUUUACCCGGGAUGAUAAUGACAGUACCGGGAGAAUAAGCUCCGGCUAACUCCGUG